CACCCUCAAAUCACGCACCCUUAACAACGUCUGUCUCGACGACAAGGGGAAAAAAAAAAGAAGAAAGGUGAAAAACACACACAAAGAAAGAGGAACACCCACUACCUUGGGCACUUUCACCUCCUCGAGCCUCCCUCUCCUCUCCUCUCCUCUGACUCCGCCCCCUUUUAAAAUUGGGACCCUCGCCGCCGCGCCCCGCAGACCCGCACACACACAGACCACACCUUCUCGCCCCCUCGCAAGUCGCAGCAGGGACAGCGGCAGCGACGCCACCGCACCACCACCUCGUCCGCCACCCGCAAUGGGGAACAGCAUCGGGGGCAAGCGCAAGAGCGCCAAGGUGAUGCAGCUGGACGGCACCUCCUUCCGCGUGAAGCCCCCGGCGGCGGCGGCGGCCGACGUGCUGCGGGACCACCCGGGCUUCCAGCUGCUCGAGUCGGAGGAGGUCAAGCUCCUGGGCGCCCGCGCGCGCCCGCUGGCCCCCGACGCGCCGCUCCGCCGCGGCCGGCUCUACUUCCUCGUCGCGCUCCCGCGCCGCGCGCCCGCGGGGGGGCCCAUGCGCCGCGCCUGGUCGGGCAACCUCAACGUCGGCGCCCGCGAGCGGCUCGAGUCGCUCAAGCUCGCGCGCCGCUCCACCUCCGACCUCUCCUCGCUCCCCGCCCCCGCCCACGCCUCCGCGUCGGCCCCCGCCUCCCCGCUCCCCGGCGGCGGCGGCGCCACGCCCGUGCGCCUCAAGAUGCGCCUCCCCCGGGCGCAGGUGGAGAAGCUCAUGGGCGAGAGCAAGGACCCCGCCGAGGCCGCCGCCAAGAUCAUGGAGCUCUGCGGCGCGGCCGUGGCGGGCGACGCGCACGCCAGCGCCCGGGCCACCCCGGACCGCCCGCGGCCCGGGAUCCUGCGCAGCCCUAGGUUCGCCAAGACACCGGAGUGGGGCGCCCGGUUCAUGCUGCCGUCGCCGGCGCCGGCGCCGGCCAAGACGCCGCCGCAGCGGUGGCCCACGCUGCCACGCACCAACGAGAAAAAGGCGCGGUUCGUAGAGUUGCCGGACGAGCUGAUAGCGUGACCUGGGCUUCGCCGAAGCGAGUUAACACUCCCUUUUUUUUCCUUCUUCUUCAAUGUACUGUCGCAAAGCAUGUUUGGUGAUCGUGAGGCCAGGAGACGAGGAAUUGUAAACUUAUCUCCAGGCGGGCGCGCUGUACUCCUUCAGCCGCUCAUAUCCGAGCGAAACACAAAGUAUGGUUUGAAGAUGAGAAGCCGCCCGAUGGCUUCCGAUUCACCUUGCUCCAGUGAUCUGACUGACUGACACCGUGUUACUUAUACCGUCAUCACCACUACGGUGCGUUAUGUGCUACAUUGCCAAGGCCAAUUAUUCCAGUCAGCUCUGGUUGCCAUUGGGGGCAGCUUCGUCGUAGGAAGAGGCGCGUGUGCAUAUGCAUCUCUGCAUGAUUUUGAAAACGAAAAAAAAAGGAUAUGUAUAACAGCCGCUCUACGCUGAAUGGUUCCUUGAGAGUUAGUAAGCUGGUGGACCGUCUGUUGGAGAAUCAUUGGGAGGCGUUGCUCAACUGAAUUCCUCUUGCACAUGCAAGCAGCAAGAGCAAGAGCAUCGUCUGCACAAGUCGUGCGGUCUCUUCUCGCCACACCGACCAUGCGGUGCGGGCUUGGAUAAAAGAUAUAUUGCCGCCAGUCACCUGUAAACCUUCACAUGACAAGCAGUAUGAUCUGACCUUAGACCUA